rnacentral:rRNA from 1 species
AGGACGAACGCUGGCGGCGUGCUUAACACAUGCAAGUCGAGCGGAAAGGCCCUUCGGGGUACUCGAGCGGCGAACGGGUGAGUAACACGUGAGUAAUCUGCCCAUCGCUUCAGGAUAGCCAUCGGAAACGGUGAUUAAUACUGGAUAUGACAUUCCUUCGCAUGUUGGGGUGUGGAAAGUUUUUUCGGCGGUGGAUGUGCUCGCGGCCUAUCAGCUUGUGGUGGGUAAUGGCCUACAAGGCUUUGACGGGUAGCCGGCCUGACGAGGGUGACCGGCCACACUGGGGACUGAGACACGGCCAGACUCCACGGGAGCAGCGAGUGGGAAUAGUGGACAAGUGGCGGAAGCUGAUCCAGCAACGCGCGUAGGAGGAUGAACGGUCUUACGGGUUCGUAACCUCUUUC